UACGAAGGCUCCAAGCGUUAUCCGGAUUUAUUGGGCGUAAAGGAGUGCGCAGGAGGUCGUGAUGCGUUCUUGUGUUAAAAUGUCACCGCCUAACGGUGUCACCGCAUGAGAUACGAUCAGACUAGAGCGUGUUAGAGGUUACUAGAACUUAUGGUGUAGGGGUGAAAUCCGUUGAUAUCAUAGGGAAUACCAAAGGCGAAGGCAUGUAACUGGAACACUGCUGACUCUCAUGCACGAAAGCGUGGGGAGCAAAAAGG
rnacentral:rRNA from 1 species